GAUGAACGCUAGCGAUAGGCCUAACACAUGCAAGUCGAGGGGCAUCACAUGAAGUAGCAAUACGGAUGGUGGCGACCGGCGCACGGGUGAGUAACACGUAUGCAACCUGCCUUCAACAAGGGGAUAACCCGUUGAAAGACGGACUAAUACCCUAUAACACAGGGGUCCCGCAUGGGGAAUAUUUGUUAAAGGACAACCGGUUGAAGAUGGGCAUGCGUUCCAUUAGCUAGUUGGCGGGGUAAGGGCCCACCAAGGCAACGAUGGAUAGGGGAACUGAGAGGUUUAUCCCCCACACUGGUACUGAGACACGGACCAGACUCCUACGGGAGGCAGCAGUGAGGAAUAUUGGUCAAUGGACGCAAGUCUGAACCAGCCACGUCGCGUGAAGGAAGACGGCCCUACGGGUUGUAAACUUCUUUUAUACGGGAAUAAAGUGCCCCACGCGUGGGGUUUGCAUGUACCGUAUGAAUAAGGAUCG
rnacentral:rRNA from 1 species